UUGAUAUCUGUGUAAACAUGAACAAAAAUGCUGGUUUGUAAAACCUUAAAAGAGGCUUAAAGGAAAAUCCAGGAGCUGGAAAUGAUAAGAUAAUUUGUGCCUGACUCUAGUACGAAGAAUUUUGGGAUGACGAUUUGGCCUAAAAAGACCUGUAGCAGUUAACAAGCUAUUAGAUGCACAAUAGCGCAAAAUGACCACCACCACUAUCACCAUAAAGUGUGUGCUUGGUGUCUGUCUACACGUGCUUGCUUCUGGAAUGUUGAAGAACAAACUGUGUUGAAACGCCAACUGGAGCUGGUCAUGGACCUUUGCCGCCCUUCAUCCGGAGCCUUCCACAGCGACGGCAGAUACAUCGCUGCCUGGACCAACAGUUGACCAUGCCGUCCAUGAUAUCAGUAGCAGCCAUGAAAACAUCUACAGAAUUACAUCUGCCUAUUAAUGGAUACAUUCUGCACCACUUCCAUGUGCUGUCAGUUUGAAACGUCUCUACUCUGACAGAAGGAAGGGAAUGAAUCCCCAGGAUUGUUCCUCAGGAAAAUCUCUUCAACAGGCUGUUUUCAGUUUGCAUGCUCUUUGGAUGGAAUUACCCUAGCUUGGCUUGCAGAGAAUCUGUGAUAUAAAAGACCUCUUUUGUGCUGCAUUGUGUCAUUGAUUUAUUGACCUUUAAGAUAUUUUAUAUGUAUUACGGUAUGCCACUAUUGUAAAAACAAAUGGGCAUAUGUUUUAGCAUAUGUUUGCAAACAGACACAUUAUAUUUUUGAAUAACUUGAAAAUACAUUUUGUAGGUUGACUUCGUACCAUGAAACAUUAAUGGUAGGUUAUAUUUGACCAGAACAUGACAAGUAUUGUUUUCGGAGUUUGUUGGUUGAAGUUGAAGGUCAUGGCAAACAGUGGUUAUUCUGCACAAUGACCCUUAAAUUCUUUGACCUAGGACCAUUAAUAUUUAGUGAUUGAUAUAUCUGUCCAACUCAUAUGUGAAAGGGACAUGAUGAAAUUGAGCAAGAGCUUAUUAGCAUUGCAAAUUAUUAUUUGUGCAUUUUUAGCUCGACUAUUUGAAGAAUAGGUGGGCUAUACUAUCGUUAACAAUUCUGCGUUAAAGUUUUAAUUUUAUGUAAUAAAAUCAAAAGUUUUUAUCCAAUCCAAUGGUAAUCAAACUUGGUCAGACUAUUUGUCGACAUGUUAUCUUGAAGAUAUAUGAAUAUGGGUCAUCCCUGGUCAAAUUCUAGGUCACAUCUUAGAGAAAAUAUUUCCAUGUCACAAAUUCAACAUUUUUUUUCAUAUCUUUAUGAAACUUGGUCAGAAUAUUUGUCUGCAUAAUAUCUUGAAAGUUUUUUAAUAUGGGUCAUCCCGGGUCAAAUUCUAGGUCACUAGGUCAAAUCUUAGGAAAAUCAUUCCACAUCAUAAAUUGAACAAUUUUUGUCAACUCUUUAUGAAACUUGGUCAGAAUAUUUGUCUGCAUAAUAUCUUAAAAGUUCUAUAAUAUGGGUGACCUCAGAUCAAAAACUAGGUCACUAGGUCAAAUCUUAGGAAAUAUUUCCUGAUGUCAUAAAAAAAAUCUAUGCUUACCAAAGCUAUCCAUAUCAGUUAAUAACUAAAUUCAAUUGUUAUUUUAUAAACACAUCCCAUCGUUGCCGCAUUGGCGUCUUGUUAUUUUUUUUAUUUUGACAGGCACAUUUUUAUAAUCUUCACCAAAUCAAACCUUGUUUUGUCACAUUGUGAUUCUUGUUCACUUUUUUUAUUUGAUUGUUUUAUUGCUUUUUACAGGCACAUAUCACACUAUUAUUGUAUUCACGUCCAAUUCCAAGAGGUGUAGUAGAGCGCACUGUUUUAAGACAGCUCUUGUUAACCUGUAAAGUGAAACCUGGUUAUAAAAAUGGCAUGACUGUGUCAUUGUGUUGGCUGGCCAGGAGGAGGGCAGCAUCAAAUACAUCUACAAACUUAGUAUACAAAGUAUUAUAGAGACCUCUCAUGGAAUUGCUUUCGGGGCCCAUAGGAUCAAGGUCACUAAAACAAAAAAAACUAUUGAAACUUAAUCGCACACCAAAGGCUUAAUUAAUUAGGUUUGUCUGUCAAUCAUUGAAAACUUGUUUUUUUGCAUUGCAGCAUUUCUUGCUUAAUUCUUAUUUUGUCUCUUUAUUGCAUAUUACCUUUAUCAUUAUUGUAUUCAUUUCUAAGACAAAGCAGCAUAUAGUUGAGGGCACUGCCCCAUGACAGCUCUUGUAUAUCCUAAAAAGAAUACAAUAGUGAUAUACCCUGAUAUAGGUAGUUUUGGUACAUAAUCACGGUUUAAAGUUUAGCUUUACUGGCCAAAGAUCAGAAGAUCUGAUGUGAUGGUAAUGUGCACGUAGUAUGUGAUUCCGAGCGCCUGUAAACAAUUGCUUGUGAACACCAUACAGUCUUUAGUUAUGAUUGUAUCUCAAUAAAAUAGUAUUUAGAUAUCCAAUAGAGCUCGGUUCCUUUCGAAAACCAGUCAGAUCUGCCCAUGCAUGCCUAGAUUAUGGGCCUUGAACAUGUGUGCGUCUGUAAACAAUUGCUUGUGAACAUGAUACAGUCUUCAGUUUUAAUUGUAUAUAGAUGAAACUUGUACAGUAUUAAGAUAUCAAUUAGAGCUUGGUUCCUUUCGAAAACCAGAUCCGCCUGUGCAUGCCUAGAUUAUGGGCCUCAAAAGUUAAAAAAAAAUGCUAUUUUAGGUAAGUCUAUUUUUAGCCAAGUCUACAUGAGUGAAGUCUAUUGUUAGACAAGUUUACAUGUAAAGUCACAAAUUUAUGCGAAAAAUUGUUCAAAUUAGGCCCCUGGGGUCAUUAUUGGCCACGCCACUGGGUUCACAGGUUUGGUAUAUUUAAAUUGGGAAAUGUUUGAAUAUCUUUAUGUCUGAAACAACUGUGCAGACCCUUGUUAUUUUGAAUAAGGAUUAUUUUAGUGGUCUGCUACCAUGGUUGUUCAAAUUAUGCCCCUAGGGUCAAAACUGGCACUGCCCCCCGGGGUCACAAGUUUUUUAAGAAAUAUUUUCAAAAUCUUCUUUUUUCAAACCACAAGGCUCAUAUCUUUGAUAUUUGUUGUGGAGCAUUAUAAUAUUAUGUAGACCAUCUAGUAAACAGUUGAAAUUAUGUGCCCUGGGCCAGGGCCAAAGCUGGCCCCAUCCCUUUUGUCCUUUUAAAGCUACAAAAAUGAAAUUUUGACCAAUAGUACAGUUUUGUAGCAAAUUUCAUUCUCCUCAGAUGACCUUUACUUGGCACAUAUUAGAAUACUAGUAGUUCAUGCAACUAAUAUGCUUACAACACUUUCUGUUCUCAGAUGUUGAAUGUGCAAUGUUUUAAGCUAACCCAAACACAAAACGUGAACAAUAUGUUUGUUGGCUAUUACUCAUACAUACAUGCUCUGGAUUAAAAAUAACCACAUGAGCCAUGCCAGUAGAGCAUAGGCACUCAUGGGCCUCUUGUUGUUUUUUUUUAGAAAAAAAGCAUACUGACCAACCCUAUUUAUUUUAGAGAAGUUAGCUGAAACUAAGAACUGUUUUUACCUUACUUUUAUAUUAGAUAGUGUAUUACUAAGAUUUUUGCUUAAAGCUCCAUUUAAGGUAACUGUUCAUCUCAAAUGUAAUAGCUUUUGCCUUCAAACUUUUAAAAGUUCAUUGAACCAGUGGAUUCAUCAAGAUGUAUAUCUGUAAAUGUUUCUCCCUAAUAUGGGAUUUUAUGUAUGCAAACAGAACAUUGAACAAUUGGCUUUCUGUGUUAAGUAAACCCUGUCUAGAACAUUUGUCAAAUUGCUGUGUCAGCGCUUGUUUAAAUGGAAUUAUUUUAUUUUCAUAUUAUGAUUUCAAAUAAAGUAUUUAAAAAUGUU